AGAGUUUGAUCAUGGCUCAGGAUGAACGCUGGCGGCGUGCCUAAUACAUGCAAGUCGAGCGAACGGAUAAGGAGCUUGCUCCUUUGAAGUUAGCGGCGGACGGGUGAGUAACACGUGGGUAACCUACCUAUAAGACUGGGAUAACUUCGGGAAACCGGAGCUAAUACCGGAUAACAUUUAGAACCGCAUGGUUCUAAAGUGAAAGAUGGUUUUGCUAUCACUUAUAGAUGGACCCGCGCCGUAUUAGCUAGUUGGUAAGGUAACGGCUUACC
rnacentral:rRNA from 1 species